UGCGGGAUCGUCUAAUGGUAGGACGCCACGCUCUGGACGUGGUAAUUCUGGUUCGAAUCCAGGUCCCGCAGCAA
rnacentral:tRNA from 1 species